GUAGUUACCAGAGUUCUGGUAUUCGCUACCCAUCAAGUCGUCACCCUGAGCCAUGGAAGGAGCCCUUCUUCUAGCCUUAUGAACCCACUCCACCCCUGGCGGACUCUUGACGGCUUCCCAAACGCUCCUUACGUGUGUGCGCUUGCUCCUGCCCAUACUCCUGUCUCCUUAAACUCACCUCUCCGGAGGUCAAGACCCUGCAUAAGUCCCACUUCCCUGUAUAUUCAUUUUAUCUUCGGCAUCCUCUCUAAUGCAUUUGAACAGAAAAGCAUGAGAUCAGUAAAAAUGUGGUUUUUAGGCCGGGCGCGGUGGCUCACGCCUGUAAUCCCAGCACUUUGGGAGGCCGAGGCGGGCGGAUCACCUGAGGUCGGGAGUUCAAG
rnacentral:lncRNA from 10 species